rnacentral:rRNA from 1 species
GACGUAGGGCGCAAGCGUUGUCCGGAUUUACUGGGCGUAAAGAGCGUGUAGGCGGCCAAACAGGUCCGUUGUGAAAACUGGAGGCUUAACCUCCAGACGUCGACGGAAACCGUAUGGCUAGAGUCCGGAAGAGGAGAGUGGAAUUCCUGGUGUAGCGGUGAAAUGCGCAGAUAUCAGGAAGAACACCAAUGGCGAAGGCAGCUCUCUGGGACGGUACUGACGCUGAGACGCGAAAGCGUGGGGAGCGAACAGG